rnacentral:rRNA from 1 species
AACGAACGCUGGCGGCAGGCUUAACACAUGCAAGUCGAACGCACCUUUCGGGGUGAGUGGCAGACGGGUGAGUAACGCGUGGGAAUCUACCCUUCUCUACGGGAUAGCUCCGGGAAACUGGAAUUAAUACCGGAUACGUCCUGAGGGAGAAAGAUAUAUCGGGCAAGGAUGAGCCCGCGUUGGAUUAGCUAGUUGGUGGGGUAAAGGCCUACCAAGGCGACGAUCCAUAGCUGGUCUAAGAGGAUGAUCAGCCACAUUGGGACUGAGACACGGCCCAAACUCCUACGGGAGGCAGCAGUGGGGAAUAUUGGACAAUGGGCGCAAUCCUGAUCCAGCCAUGCCGCGUGAGUGAUGAAGGCCCUAGGGUUGUAAAGCUCUUUCAGUGGGGACGAUAAUGACGGUACCCACAGAAGAAGCCCCGGCUAACUUCGUG